rnacentral:rRNA from 1 species
GUGAGGAAUAUUGCGCAAUGGAGGCAACUCUGACGCAGCCAUGCCGCGUGCAGGAAGAAGGCGCUACGCGUUGUAAACUGCUUUUAACCGGGAAGAAACCCCAGGACGUGUCCUGGGUUGACGGUACCGGAGGAAUAAGCACCGGCUAACUUCGUGCCAGCAGCCGCGGUAAUACGAAGGGUGCAAGCGUUAUCCGGAUGCAUUGGGUUUAAAGGGUGCGUAGGCGGAGCGUUAAGUCAGUGGUGAAAUCCUGCAGCUUAACUGUAGACUUGCCAUUGAUACUGGCGCUCUUGAGUGCGCUUGAAGUGGGCGGAAUGUGCCGUGUAGCGGUGAAAUGCUUAGAUAUGGCACAGAACACCAAUUGCGAAGGCAGCUCACUAAGGCGAUACUGACGCUGAGGCACGAAAGCGUGGGGAUCGAACAGGAUUAGAUACCCGGGUAGUCC